rnacentral:rRNA from 1 species
UACGGGGGGAGCAAGCGUUGUUCGGAUUUCCUGGGCGUAAAGGGCGCGUAGGCGGCCACCGCAAGUCAGUUGUGAAAUCUCUGGGCUUAACCCAGAAAGGUCAACUGAUACUGCGGGGCUAGAGUGCAGAAGGGGCAACUGGAAUUCUCGGUGUAGCGGUGAAAUGCGUAGAUAUCGAGAGGAACACCUGCGGCGAAGGCGGGUUGCUGGGCUGACACUGACGCUGAUGCGCGAAAGCCAGGGGAGCGAACGGG